UUCGCAGGCGGUCUGAUAAGUCAGAUGUGAAAGGCUAUGGCUUAACCAUAGUAAGCAUUUGAAACUGUCAGACUUGAGUUAAGGAGAGGAAAGUGGAAUUCCUAGUGUAGCGGUGAAAUGCGUAGAUAUUAGGAGGAAUACCAGUGGCGAAAGGCGACUUUCUGGACUUAUACUGACGCUGAGGAACGAAAGCGUGGGGAGCAAACAG
rnacentral:rRNA from 1 species